rnacentral:rRNA from 1 species
AGUGAACGCUGGCGGUAGGCCUAACACAUGCAAGUCGAACGGCAGCACAGUAAGAGCUUGCUCUUGCGGGUGGCAAGUGGCGGACGGGUGAGGAAUACAUCGGAAUCUACUUUUUCGUGGGGGAUAACGUAGGGAAACUUACGCUAAUACCGCAUACGACCUACGGGUGAAAGCAGGGGAUCUUCGGACCUUGCGCGAUUGAAUGAGCCGAUGUCGGAUUAGCUAGUUGGCGGGGUAAAGGCCCACCAAGGCGACGAUCCGUAGCUGGUCUGAGAGGAUGAUCAGCCACACUGGAACUGAGACACGGUCCAGACUCCUACGGGAGGCAGCAGUGGGGAAUAUUGGACAAUGGGCGCAAGCCUGAUCCAGCCAUACCGCGUGGGUGAAGAAGGCCUUCGGGUUGUAAAGCCCUUUUGUUGGGAAAGAAAAGCAGCAGGUUAAUACCCCGCUGUUCUGACGGUACCCAAAGAAUAAGCACCGGCGAACUUCGU